CCUACGGGAGGCUGCAGUGAGGAAUAUUGGUCAAUGGACGCAAGUCUGAACCAGCCAUGCCGCGUGCAGGAAGACGGCCCUAUGAGUUGUAAACUGCUUUUGUACGAGGGUAAACGCAGAUACGUGUAUCUUUCUGAAAGUAUCGUACGAAUAAGGAUCGGCUAACUCCGUGCCAGCAGCCGCGGUAAUACGGAGGAGUCAAGCGUUUUCCGGAUUUAUUGGGUUUAAAGGGUGCGUAGGCGGUCGGAUAAGUUAGGGGUGAAAUCCCGGGGCUCAACUUCGGAAUUGCCUCUGAUACUGUUGGGCUAGAGAGUAGGAGCGGUAGGCGGAAUGUAUGGUGUAGCGGUGAAAUGCUUAGAGAUCAUACAGAACACCGAUUGCGAAGGCAGCUUACCAAGCUACUACUGACGUUGAGGCACGAAAGCGUGGGGAGCAAACAGGAUUAGAUACCCGUGUAGUC
rnacentral:rRNA from 1 species